rnacentral:rRNA from 1 species
UACGAAGGGUGCAAGCGUUACUCGGAAUUACUGGGCGUAAAGCGUGCGUAGGUGGUGAGUUAAGUCUGUCGUGAAAGCCCCGGGCUCAACCUGGGAAUUGCAUUCGAGACUGAAUAGCUAGGGUGCGGUAGAGGGAAGCGGAAUUUCCGGUGUAGCGGUGAAAUGCGUAGAUAUCGGAAGGAACAUCAGUGGCGAAAGCGGCUUCCUGGACCAGCACCGACGUUCAGGCACGAAAGCGUGGGGAGCAAACAGG